ACUUUUAAAGGAUAAAAGUCAUCCAAUGGC
rnacentral:tRNA from 1 species